CUUUGCUGAUCUUCUCUGGGUCUGCUUAAGCCUUUUGGCAGGAGGUAACUGGGGCAACAUUGUGCUGCUGAUGCACACGGUGGCAUAAUGGUGGCUGCUGCCCUAUCAGCUCCAGCACUGCUGUUCCAUGGCACUGCUUUCGUGCUGCUGGGCCCCUUUCUGGUGUUGUUGAGCACCUGCUGCAUUAACCAAUGGACUGCCCAGGAAAUAUGUGUAAUUUUGGUCACUUGGCUGCAGGCAGCUGCCACGAGGAAGCACAUGGGUGUGCACGUUCCUUCAGCAGCACUCAGCAGGCAAUGCAGCCAGCUUUCUGGAGAGAUGGGACUGCAGACCACACGUUGGGAACCCAGAGCCUGGAGCAGACAAUGCGUUCGCUCACUGCUAAGGAGGGUCAAGUGACUGUCACCAGCUCUGCACCGAGGAGGUGUAACCUGCGUCGCAGCUGCCAGCAUCGCCUGGCUUGA
rnacentral:lncRNA from 1 species